rnacentral:rRNA from 1 species
GCGGUGGAGCAUGUGGUUUAAUUCGAAGCAACGCGAAGAACCUUACCAGGUCUUGACAUCUAGUGCCAUCCUAAGAGAUUAGGAGUUCCCUUCGGGGACGCUAAGACAGGUGGUGCAUGGCUGUCGUCAGCUCGUGUCGUGAGAUGUUGGGUUAAGUCCCGCAACGAGCGCAACCCUUAUUAUUAGUUGCCAGCAUUAAGUUGGGCACUCUAAUGAGACUGCCGGUGACAAACCGGAGAAAGGU